CCUUCGGGACAGAGGAGACAGGUGGUGCAUGGUUGUCGUCAGCUCGUGUCGUGAGAUGUUGGGUUAAGUCCCGUAACGAGCGCAACCCUUGUCCUUAGUUACCAGCACGUUAUGGUGGGCACUCUAAGGAGACUGCCGGUGACAAACCGGAGGAAGGUGGGGAUGACGUCAAGUCAUCAUGGCCCUUACGUCCAGGGCUACACACGUGCUACAAUGGCAGGUACAAAGA
rnacentral:rRNA from 1 species